GUAAGUGUGAGGACUGUGCUAAGUGCCAUGAGAAACUCAGGACACACUGCAAGAGCCUGGCACUUACUGAGGCUCAGAAAACAAUACCCCAAAGUCUGGCACUUUGGCAUGCUGGGAAGGGUCCUGUCCUGUACCCGGGAGGAAGAAAUGCUACACAGAGAAGCCAAGAUGAAUCUGAACAGACAGCCUUUGUCAGUUCCACAGAUUCCAUAAAAGUUAACUCCAGAGCAGAGAAUGAUGCCACAGUCGGGAUAACAUCCAAUAUUUGCAAUCAGAAGAAAUAUGAGAGUCUUGCUCCAUCACCCAGGCUGCAGUGCAGUGGCACGAUCUUGGCUCACUGCAAGCUCCACCUCCCGGGUUCACGCCAUUCUCCUGCCUCAGCCUCCCAAGUAGCUGGGACUACAGGCGCCCACCACCACGCCCAGCUAAAUUUUUUUGUAUUUUUAGUAGAGAUGGGGUUUCACUGUGUUAGCCAGGAUGGUCUCGAUUUCCUGACCUCGUGAUCUGCCUGCCUCGGCCUCCCAAAGUGCUGGGAUUACAGGCGUGAGCCACUGUGCCCGGCCGUAAUUAUUCUUUUCGUGUUAAGCAAUGGUAAAAGAACUGACUGAAAAUAAGAAUAUUAAAAAGUUUCUCUGCUAAAAACAGAAAAUUAUGUUUGUUACCAUUCCUACUAUAACCCCAGUGAUAUGGCUCCGAUGAGUGGAGGAACACCAGGGUUCUUGGUCUUCAUGCCAGUUUAGAUAAAACAACACAGACAUACGUGGAGUGGUUUUAAGGAGCAGACAGUUUAAUAGGCAAGAAGAAAAGAGAAGGCAGAAGGAAAAGGCUCCCCGAUACAAAGACAGAGGGAGGGGGCCUCCAAAGCCAAAAGAGGAAAUCCCAAGUGCAGUGGAUACCAGCCAGGUAUAUGUAGAGGCUGGAGGAGGUGGUGUCUGAUUUGCAUAGGGCUCAGGGGAUUGGUUUGACCAGGCCUGUAAUUCACGGGGCCUGAAAAAGCUGGCCCUCCCACCCUAGCAUUUAAUAUGCAAAUGCAGGGCGCCACGAUGUUCUACAAAUGGUGGGUAUAUGUGGGAGCGGCCAUGUUGCCAGGAACAUGUGGGGCAAGGGCAAGAAGGCCACGGGAAUCACCAUGUUUGGGUAGACGCAGUUUCUAAUGGCUUGCAUUUGCCUAUCAAAGGUUGCCAGCCGCUCUAAGAGCCAGGGCAUUCCAAUUCUGGAGCUGCUUUAAAAAUGAAAACUUCCCAAGGAUCCCUUUUCUUUUCUAUCUGCCUAAAAUAAUUUCUUAAUAACUCCUACAACACAAUGAUUUUCAGUGAAACAAAAGCUGCUGUUUUAUUUUUGUUAAAUUGUUUUUCUUAGCUAAAGAGAUAAAAGUGAGGAUGAGGGAUUCAAAAUGUGGUUUACUUUAUAGAGCUUGCAAAACUCACAGCAUUUAAAGCAGUUUUUAACAGGAGUAUGGGGAUAGGGCUUGAAUGAACUUGGAAAUGCCAUUCAAUUGCUAAAAUCAUAUGCAUCACAUUGUGUUCGUCUGCACAUACGUGCACUUUUCUGGUAAGAAGUUUCAAACUUACAACAAAUUUUCAAAAGAGGUCUAUACUUUUGAAAGUAUAAGAAAUCACUUAGUUUACUGACUUUCCUUAUUUCAGGCCACAUCCAAAAGUACAAAACAGCACAUUUACAUUUUGUAUUUCACAUUUUUUUCAAUACUUACCUUGGGAGCCAUAGGCCCUGCUAAAGUUUUGCUGAAAAAUCAUGGACAUGAUGCAGAUUAAUUAAGAGGAGAAAAGGCAUAUAGAUUUAUUUAACAUGUAUACACAGGAGCAUUCAAAAUGAAGACCCAGCUUCUCCAUGAGUUACAGAAACUUAUAUACCAUCUUGAGUUUGCAGAACGAAUGGGGGCUUGCAUCCUGGUAAGACAGGAUAUAGGAAGAAGGAGAAGAGAAAUUCUAUUGAGGGGCAAUAAAUGACUGUGAAGGAGAAUGAUUGGAUCAGGGAACAGAGAUUAACUUUGUAAAUAGUUUUCUUUGAAAUUUAAAUGAUCCUUGGAGACAAUCAUUGUUCUUAUUAAAAGGUCUGUUCAGGUAUUGGUCACAUCUUGGCCUUCUUUUCUGCAAUAGAUAAUGAGAUAACAGAGAUGGGAAGAAAACACAAUAGUUCUCAUUGGUAGGUCUGGAUCCUAAGCAGAUAAAGGAACUUCAGUUUAUUUGGGAGAGACAGUGGUGGUGAGA
rnacentral:lncRNA from 10 species